CCUGGGUGCAGUGGCCACACCUGUAAUCCCAGUGACUCGGGAGGCUGAGGCAGGAGGAUCUCAAGUGCAAGGUCCGUCUGGGCAAUUUAGUGAGAUCCUAACUCAA
rnacentral:sRNA from 1 species